CCGAGUUUUACAACUCCCAAACCCCUGUGAACAUACCUAUAUGUUGCCUCGGCGGAUCAGCCCGCGCCCCGUAAAACGGGACGGCCGCCGCAGGAUCCACAAACUCUGUUUUUAUUGUAAACUUCUGAGUAACAAAACAAAUAAAUCA
rnacentral:misc_RNA from 1 species